rnacentral:rRNA from 1 species
GAUGAACGCUGGCGGCGUGCUUAACACAUGCAAGUCGAACGGAGUGGCGAACGGGUGAGUAACACGUGGGUGAUCUGCCUUGCACUUCGGGAUAAGAUUGGGAAACUGGGUCUAAUACCGGAUAGUGCAAGAUGAGCUCGCGGCCUAUCAGCUUGUUGGUGGGGUAAUGGCCUACCAAGGCGUCGACGGGUAGCCGGCCUGAGAGGGUGUACGGCCACAGUGGGACUGAGAUACAGCCCAGACGACUACGGGAGGCAGCAGUGAGGAAUAUUGCACAAUGGGCGGAAGCCUGAUGCAGCGACGCCGUGUGGGAGAGGAAGUCCUUCGGGUUGUAAACUACUUUCGACAGGGAAGCGGUACCUGUAGAAGAGGAACAGGCAAACUACGUGACAGCAGCCGCGGUAAUUC